GGGGAUCGAACCCCCAACCACAUGGUUAAGGAAUGAGGUGAAGAAGAGCAAGAAAAGUUAUGAUUUCAAAUAUGGGUUCCUCAAUCAUUCAAAUCUAGGAUUUCAAACCAGAAAAAUUGAAUCAAAGUGGUGAAGAAGAACAAGAAAAGUCAUAACACCCAAAUUGGCUCUUCUUUCUUUUACAAUUCAUCCACAAAAGCUGAAAAAACUAACCCAAAAAAAUAGAGCAAAAGAAUCAGAAGAAUCUGCUGCCCCAAUGUCAGAAGAAUCAGAAGGUGAUAAAGGGGUCGAAUUCUACAGCGGCUGCACUCAGAGGCGGACCUACUAAGGCAUAAGGAGGUGCAGCUGCACCUCCCCUCGCCGGAAAAACCAUUGUAGGUGCUUGAAAUUGCCCCUUUACUCAACUGGUGUACAGAUUACCUUAUUUCCAUCUUCAACAUUUAAGUAAA